GGAUGUUGUGGUGUUCGGCUAUGAGAGGAGAUGGCUGGUGCUGAGUGCAGCCAAGAGAAGGAAGUGGAUGGCUGCUGUGGUGAGGGAGACCGUGGGUCUGAGGAGACGGGGAACGGCUCUGUUGGAGGUGGAAGGAGAGCGGUUGCUGUUGUGAUCGGGUCUGUUCGUUGACCCGGAGAGGGAGGCCGAUGGGUCGGCUGAGAGAGGAGAGGAGUCUGGUGAGGGGAGGAGAUGGUCGUGUCUGUUGGCGUGCGGCUGGAGAUGGGCUGCUGCUGGCCGGUCUUCACUCCUCUUGGCAGAUCCGGCGGGUGUUGAUGCUGGUGCUGUUGCUGAGGGAAGGAAAUGCUGGAGGCGACUGUUCACGGUGGUUGUGAAGGGGGGAGUUGUGGUCGGGUCUGUAUGGGUCUAGGAGGGCAAAGGGAGCUGCUGAGAGGGAGGAUCUGUGGAGAGAAAAAGAGAGAAGGCAGUGUUUUGGGGCUGCUGGAGACGAUGGGGCAGGUUGAGGGAGAAGACAAAAAAAUCAAAAACAAGGGGGGGGGUGGCUCCAAGGCUGGCGGCCAGAAAUGAAGAAGAGGGACAGAUCAGGGGGGAGAGAAGGAAAAUGGAGAGGCUUUGGUCGGGUGUGUGUUGGUCUGUGAGGGGGAUAACAGUGGAGAGGGGAAGGAAACGGUAGAACCAGCCGGGUCAGCAAAAGGAAGGCCACCGGGGGGGGCUGUGUGCAGAGAAGAUAAAAUUUCUCUAGUGGGUGGCGGCGGCUGGGUGUGAAAGAGAUAGGUUUAGGGUUUCUCUUCCCUUUUUUUAUUUGUCAAAAUUGCCCCCCCCCUCUUGAAAAAAAUCAGUGUAGCUUGGUAUUUAUAGGAAAAGUUUUGCUAGGUUUUCAAACUAGUCCCUCAACUUUUCCUUUCCUUCUCUUUUCCUCUUUUUUUGUAAAUUUUGAUUUUUUUUUUUAUUUUUUUGUAUUUUUGAAAGCGAG
rnacentral:lncRNA from 1 species